rnacentral:rRNA from 1 species
CCUACGGGCGGCAGCAGUGAGGAAUAUUGGUCAAUGGGCGGAAGCCUGAACCAGCCAAGUCGCGUGAGGGAAUAAGGCCCUACGGGUCGUAAACCUCUUUUGCCGGGGAGCAAGGGCGGGGACGAGGCCCGGCCCGGAGAGUACCCGGAGAAAAAGCAUCGGAUAAACCCGAGACAGCAGCCGCGGUAAUACGGAGGAUGCGAACGUUAGCCGCAUUUAUUGGGUUUAAGGGGUGUGUAGGCGGGCUUUUAAGUCAGCGGUAAAAAUUCGGGGCUCAACCCCGUCCGGCCGUUGAAACUGGGGGCCUUGAGUGGGCGAGAAGAAGGCGGAAUGCGUGGUGUAGCGGUGAAAUGCAUAGAUAUCACGCAGAACCCCGAUUGCGAAGGCAGCCUUCCGGCGCCCUACUGACGCUGAGGCACGAAAGUGCGGGGAUCGAACAGGAUUAGAUACCCUUGUAGUC